CCUCACGCAGAAUUUAUUCGACUCGGUCCCCUCCAUAUCGCGUCCCUCGCUCAUUUCAUGUAUGUCUCGGUGGAAUGGUGUGAGUAGUGUGGUAUGUCGAU